rnacentral:ncRNA from 1 species
CGUUAUGACUGCUGGAAACGGCAGGCGCUGGGAUGAGGGAAUCCGGUCAGAGUCCGGAGCAUAACCCGUUGCUGUAUGCGCAGGAGCCUAUUGUUCAUGGCGUGAGCCGGUCAUUGGGGGGUGAUGCCCCUGAGAAGGCGGAACAAGAGGCGCAGGAGCAAUUUUGCUCCCCAAUGCGUGAGCCAGAAGACCGACGAUGUUUGAGACCGAAGGG